rnacentral:rRNA from 1 species
CUACGGGGGGCAGCAGUGGGGAAUAUUGGACAAUGGGCCACAAGCCUGAUCCAGCAAUUCUGUGUGCACGAUGAAGGUCUUCGGAUUGUAAAGUGCUUUCAGUUGGGAAGAAGAAAGUGACGGUACCAACAGAAGAAGCGACGGCUAAAUACGUGCCAGCAGCCGCGGUAAUACGUAUGUCGCAAGCGUUAUCCGGAUUUAUUGGGCGUAAAGCGCGUCUAGGCGGAAAAAUAAGUCUGAUGUUAAAAUGCGGGGCUCAACUCCGUAUUGCGUUGGAAACUGUUUUUCUAGAGUAUUGGAGAGGUGGGCGGAACUACAAGUGUAGAGGUGACAUUCGUAGAUAUUUGUAGGAAUGCCGAUGGAGAAGUCAGCUCACUGGACAGAUACUGACGCUAAAGCGCGAAAGCGUGGGGAGCAAACAGGAUUAGAUACCCUGGUAGUC